rnacentral:rRNA from 1 species
AAUUUAUUUUUUUUUAAUUUUAGGUAUUGCAUAUCAUUUAAGGAAAAUUUUAUAGUAAUAAAUAAUAAAACUAAAAGGUAGAAAAAUUUGUUAUUUUUAUUGUUUCAUAAUAAAAGUUAUAAUUUUUAGUGUUGAAAUGUCGACUUUUAGGAUAUUUGUGUUUUUAUAAUAAUUAGAAAUUUAUUAUAAUAGUUGAAAUUUAUAUAAAUAGUAAAAGUUAAAGUAUUUUUGUUUUUAGUUUUAUAACUGUUUAUUUAAGAUUUAUUGUUGUUUUUUUUUGUUUAUAUAAUAAGUUUUUAUUAUAUAUAUUAUUUUAAAAUUAGUAGGUUUAAAAGUUGUGUGUAUAUUAAUAAUUUAAUAAAAGAACUCAGAGAUUAAUCAAAUGUUUUUUAAAGACUUAGAUUUUUAAGUAAAGUUGGCUUCUGCCCAGUGAUGAAAAUUAAAUGGCAGUCUUAGCGUGAGGACAUUAAGGUAGCAAAAUAAUUUGUGCUUUUAUUGGGUUCCAGUAUGAAUGAAGUUAUUGGUUAAUGUAUAUUUUAAUUUUAAGGUGAAUUUUUAAUUAAUAUAAAAAAAUAUUGUUAUAAUAAAACAAAGAUAAGUCUUUGGAAAUUCUUUUUUAAAAACUGAUUAAUCAGUUUUUAAAAAUUUUCUAGGGUAGAAUUUUAUAUAAUUAUUUUAUCUAAUAAUAAUUUAAAGAAUUACUCCAGAGUUAACAGAAAAUCAUACCUAAUCUAGUACUUAUAGUAAGGUAAGUUUUACAUCGAUGUUGUAUUUAAGUUUAUUAAAAAAGGAGAAGAUUUAAAAUUUAAGACUGUUCUUCUUUUAAUUAAUUUAACGUGAUAUUAGUUUAAUUCAUUGUAAGAUAGAAUUGUUUAUCUUGUUUAUUAUUUUUUUUUAGUUUUAAUAGUACGAAAGGAAAAUUAAAAAAAGUUUUAAACUUUUAAAGUUUGGUAGCUU